AUUGAACGCUGGCGGCAUGCUUUACACAUGCAAGUCGAACGGCAGCGGGGAGGAGCUUGCUUCUCUGCCGGCGAGUGGCGAACGGGUGAGUCAUACAUCGGAACGUGUCGAGAAGAGGGGGAUAACCACCCGAAAGGGUGGCUAAUACCGCAUAAAUUCUGAGGAAGAAAGCUGGGGACCUAGGAAUAGGCCUAGCGCUUUUUGAGCGGCCGAUGUCGGAUUAGCUAGUUGGUGAGGUAAAGGCUCACCAAGGCGAAGAUCUGUAGCGGGUCUGAGAGGAGGAUCGGCCACACGGGGACUGAGACACGGCCCAGACUCCUACGGGAGGCAGCAGUGGGGAAUUUUGGACAAUGGGGGCAACCCUGAUCCAGCCAUGCCGCGUGUAUGAAGAAGGCCUUAGGGUUGUAAAGUACUUUUGUUAGGGAAGAAAAGUCAGCGGUGAAUAAUGGCUGAUACUGACGGUACCUAAAGAAUAAGCACCGGCUAACUACGUG
rnacentral:rRNA from 1 species